rnacentral:rRNA from 1 species
CUGCGGAAGGAUCAUUACCACACCAUAAAACUUUCCACGUGAACCGUUACAAUUAUGUUCUGUGCCCUCUCUCGGGAGGGCUGAACGAAGGUGGCGCUGCAUGUAUGUGCGGUGUUGCCGAUGUACUUUCAAACCCAUUACUAAAUACUGAACUAUACUCCGAGAACGAAAGUUUUUGGUUUUAAUCAAUAACAACUUUCAGCAGUGGAUGUCUAGGCUCGCACAUCGAUGAAGAACGCUGCGAACUGCGAUACGUAAUGCGAAUUGCAGAAUUCAGUGAGUCAUCGAAAUUUUGAACGCACAUUGCACUUUCGGGAUAUUCCUGGAAGUAUGCUUGUAUCAGUGUCCGUACAUCAAACUUGCCUUUCUUUUUUUGUGUAGUCAAGGAGAGAAAUGGCAGACUGUGAGGUGUCUCGCUGGCUCCCUCUUCGGAGGAGAAGACGCGAGUCCCUUUAAAUGUACGUUCGCUCUUUCUUGUGUCUGAGAUGAAGUGUGACUUUCGAACGCAGUGAUCUGUUUGGAUCGCUUUGCGCGAGUGGGCGACUUCGGUUAGAACAUUAAAGGAAGCAACCUCUAUUGGCGGUAUGUUAGGCUUCGGCCCGACUUUGCAGCUGACAGUGUGUAGUUUUCUGUUCUUUCCUUGAAGUGUACCUGUCUUGUGUGAGGCAAUGGUCUGGGCAAAUGGUUAUUGUGUAGUAGAAUGUUGCUGCUCUUGGACGCCCUAUUCGUAGGGUAAAGGAGGCAACACCAAUUUGGGAUCAGUUCGUGGAAUUUAUUCUGCGGGCGCUUUUUCAAUUUGGACCUGAUAUCAAG